GACUGGGCUUCCCUGUAUCUAUGGUCUGACGGACAAACAGCCCCAUUCUCAGAGUUCAUAACGGAGUGCUUACAUUAUUACACUUGUGCAAUUCAAGAUAUAUUUAUUUUACCCUUUCAGUAUUUGUUGUUGUUGUUGUUGUUGAAAAAGGUACAAAAUGUUUGAAUUGUUUAAAAAGUUAUUUUAAGCUAUACAGGUUUUGUGUUCUCAGAGGGAUGGGAUCAAAACACAGCAAGAUGACAAUUCAGUUGAAAAGAUAAGAGUAGUCAGCACUUCAGACUAGUGAGGACAAUGUGCAUUAUAAUGCAGCUGUUUAGUUUGACGACUGUGACACACAAACGCAGUCAUUUCACUGUGAGAACUGACGGACUGUAAUAAUAAUAAUGUGUUUUAAAGCCUACAUACACACAAACAGGUUGUACUUUCUGCUAAAUUCAAUGUAGGCUUUUUUCUUGUUGCUUUUGACAACAACAACAGUACACCAAAGUUCAGAAUAGAUGAACAAUGUUUCUGUGUGUUUGGCGUUUCUAAUGAUAAGCUAAGUGACAGCUGUAUUGGAGAGACAGAGGCAGGAUAAAACACAACACAUCACUCAAAUGUUUGGUGAGAAAAUAGGUGAGAUACUGUACUGGCUAGAUGGGAGGUACUGUACUGUACUGGCUAGAUGGGAGGUACUGUACUGUAUUGGCUAGAUGGGAGGUACUGUACUGUAUUGGCUAGAUGGGAGGUACUGUACUGUACUGUAUUGGCUAGAUGGGAGGUACUGUAUUGGCUAGAUGGGAGGUACUGUACUGGCUAGAUGGGAGGUACUGUACUGUAUUGGCUAGAUGGGAGCUACUGUACUGGCUAGAUGGGAGGUACUGUACUGGCUGGAUGGGGGGUACUGUACUGUAUUGGCUAGAUGAGAGGUACUGUACUAUACUGGCUAGAUGGGAAGUACUGUACUGUACUGGCUAGACGGGAGGUACUGUACUGGCUGGAUGGGAGGUACAGUACUGGCUAGAUGGGAGGUACAGUACUGGCUGGAUGGGAGGUACAGUACUGGCUAGAUGGGAGGUACAGUACUGGCUGGAUGGGAGGUACAGUACUGGUUGGAUGGGAGGUACUGUAUUGGCUAGAUGAGGUACUGUAUUGGCUAGAUGAGGUACUGUACUGGUUAGAAGGGAGGUACAGUACUGGCUUGGUGGGAGGUACAGUACUGGCUGGAUGGGAGGUACAGUACUGGCUAGAUGAGGUACAGUACUGGCUAGAUGGGAGGUACAGUACUGGCUUGAUGGGAGGUACAGUACUGGCUGGAUGGGAGGUACAGUACUGGCUAGAUGAGGUACAGUACUGGCUAGAAGGGAGGUACAGUUCAGUACUGGUUAGAAGGGAGGUACUGUAUUGGUGGGAGGUACAGUACUGGUUAGAAGGGAGGUACAGUACUGGCUAGAAUGGAGGUACAGUACUGGCUUGGUGGGAGGUACAGUAUUGUACUGGGUGGAUGGGAAUAUGUAAACCCAGCCAACAUAUCUGGGUUAGUAUUCUGUAUGUGAAAUUGAGACAUCCAGGCCCGCUAGCCAAAACUCAACGGUGUGUGACUGACAGCUACAUGAACAUUAACUAUGUUACUCUUAUAAUGACCAUUUGGGGGGAGGGGGGCUUAUGUUGGUCCUGGUACACACCUGUACAAGUCUGUAAUGGAAAUGUGUUUCUUACAUACUGAGACCCUGAGGAGUGGGGUCGCGACCUUUUAUGGUGAUACCAUUCAGUAUUGGCUUC
rnacentral:lncRNA from 1 species